GGCUCGGGCUGCCACUGGGUGUCUUGCUGCCAGGGAGGAAAGCCAGGGCCCAGGCUUGUAUGCUGUUCCCAGCGCUCAAUUUUGUAAUAACAAAAACUAGAGCGUCAAAAGGCUGGACGGCAGAAAGUCCCCACAUGGCUGAAUAAUAUUCCGCGAUGUGGCUGGACACCGUUUUGUCUGCCCAUCACCCGCUGAUGGAUGGAUCGUGGCCAUGGCUGUGCACACACCUUUGAGCUGCUGCCUUCUGUGUUUUGGAUGAAGACCGGAGACGGCAGGCUCGUGAACACGAAGAGCGUUUAAAAACCGAAAAGCGUGUGUGCCUCUCAUUCUCCACCUGCUCGGACUUCAAAAAACGUUUCCCAGCGGGGCACCUGGGUGGCUCUGUUGGCGGAGCGUCUGCCUUCAGCUCAGGUUAUGAUCCUGGGGUCCUGGGGUCGAGUCCUGUGUGGGGCUCCCUGCUGAGUGGGGAGGCCUGCUUCUCCCUCUCU